rnacentral:lncRNA from 1 species
AUCAAUAUAAUCAAAUUUUGAGUUUAUUUGUUAAAACGAAUGUAGAGUUUGUCAAAGAAAUAGAAAUGUAAACUAAAUUGUGAGGGAAAAUGUAAAAUAUUUAUAUAAUAAAUAACACCAAAGUACAAGAAGGAUAUAACCUAAUAGCACAAGACAUAGACAUUAUAAUUUAAAAUAAAAUAAUUCUCCUUGAGAUAAUACAAAAUUAUUUUUCAACUUUUCUUUACGCACUCACAUCUAGAAGAAAUGCAUUUCCGUUUUAAUGGUCUGGAACACACUUUGUGUAAACAAUCAUGGUCAGUUUGGCAAGGGGAAGGAAUAUCUACAAUGUCAAACAAAACAAAAACAUUGUUACAAACAAGUGAUUCAAUAGUAAGCAUAUGUUAUUAUAAAAAAGAAUUUGAAAAUGGUGUGAAGAAAUGGCCUACAAGGGUGGGGUGAUAUACGCCAUUCGGUUUUGACUUUUACAAAAAACAAACAAAGAGAUACUAUUAAAUAAUAAACACACUUGGAAAUUUGAAUCAUAUUUUUUUCUCCUUUAGUUUAAUAAUUUUAAGUUUUUUUGAUUAAUUUAUAAGUAAAAACCCA